rnacentral:rRNA from 1 species
GUAAUGCUUGGGAACUUGCCUUUGCGAGGGGGAUAACAGUUGGAAACGACUGCUAAUACCGCAUAAUGUCUUCGGACCAAACGGGGCUUCGGCUCCGGCGCAAAGAGAGGCCCAAGUGAGAUUAGCUAGUUGGUGAGGUAAAGGCUCACCAAGGCAACGAUCUCUAGCUGUUCUGAGAGGAAGAUCAGCCACACUGGGACUGAGACACGGCCCAGACUCCUACGGGAGGCAGCAGUGGGGAAUAUUGCACAAUGGGGGAAACCCUGAUGCAGCCAUGCCGCGUGUGUGAAGAAGGCCUUCGGGUUGUAAAGCACUUUCAGUUGUGAGGAAAAGUUAGUAGUUAAUACCUGCUAGCCGUGACGUUAACAACAGAAGAAGCACCGGCUAACUCCGUGCCAGCAGCCGCGGUAAUACGGAGGGUGCGAGCGUUAAUCGGAAUUACUGGGCGUAAAGCGCACGCAGGCGGUUUGUUAAGCUAGAUGUGAAAGCCCCGGGCUCAACCUGGGACGGUCAUUUAGAACUGGCAGACUAGAGUCUUGGAGAGGGGAGUGGAAUUCCAGGUGUAGCGGUGAAAUGCGUAGAUAUCUGGAGGAACAUCAGUGGCGAAGGCGACUCCCUGGCCAAAGACUGACGCUCAUGUGCGAAAGUGUGGGUAGCGAACAGGAUUAGAUACCCUGGUAGUCCACACCGUAAACGCUGUCUACUAGCUGUUUGUGACUUUAAGUCGUGAGUAGCGAAGCUAACGCGAUAAGUAGACCGCCUGGGGAGUACGGCCGCAAGGUUAAAACUCAAAUGAAUUGAC